ACAGGCAAAUUUGGCUUCCUACUUUAGCAUUCCAAUCCCCCAUGAUGAUAAGGACAUCAUUUUUUGGUGUUAAUUCUAUAAGGUGCUGUAUGGCUUCAUAGAACCGUUCAAUUUCAUCCUCUUCAGCACCAGUGGUUGGGGCAUAGAUUUGGAUUACUGUUAUG